rnacentral:ncRNA from 1 species
CCGUUGUUCACCGCAUCGUCUGAUCCACGAUGGCUCAACAGUGAAUUACGGACAAGUUAAUACACACAGCGCCUAUUGAGCGGGUUGCUGCAAUCCGAAGCGGAGAGAUUCGUUUGGACUGCGGUUUGCUUUUUGCACCCUUUUUGCAUUGACGCU